UCGAGAAUCAUUCACAAUGGGGGAAACCCUGAUGGUGCGACGCCGCGUGGGGGAAUGAAGGUCUUCGGAUUGUAAACCCCUGUCAUGUGGGAGCAAAUUAAAAAGAUAGUACCACAAGAGGAAGAGACGGCUAACUCUGUGCCAGCAGCCGCGGUAAUACAGAGGUCUCAAGCGUUGUUCGGAAUCACUGGGCGUAAAGCGUGCGUAGGCGGUUUCGUAAGUCGUGUGUGAAAGGCGGGGGCUCAACCCCCGGACUGCACAUGAUACUGCGAGACUAGAGUAAUGGAGGGGGAACCGGAAUUCUCGGUGUAGCAGUGAACUGCGUAGAUAUCGAGAGGAACACUCGUGGCGAAGGCGGGUUCCUGGACAUUAACUGACGCUGAGGCACGAAGGCCAGGGGAGCGAAAGGG
rnacentral:rRNA from 1 species